UACAGAGGUGGCAAGCGUUGUUCGGAAUUACUGGGCGUAAAGGGCGCGUAGGUGGCCUUCUUAGUCAGACGUGAAAUCCCCAGGCUUAACCUGGGAACUGCGUCUGAUACUGGAAGGCUCGAGUUCGGGAGAGGGAUGUGGAAUUCCAGGUGUAGCGGUGAAAUGCGUAGAUAUCUGGAGGAACACCGGUGGCGAAGGCGGCAUUCUGGACCGAAACUGACGCUGAGGCGCGAAAGCCAGGGGAGCAAACGGG
rnacentral:rRNA from 1 species